ensembl:lncRNA SMIM15-AS1 SMIM15 antisense RNA 1
AAAACGGAUCGACCAGGCUCGAUCUCCCAACCAGACCCGCGUGGCCCCUGCGGCUGCAACGGGUAGCACUUGACGGCCGUCCGCACUUCCUCCUUUGUCUUUCCCUUAUUCCUUACGUUUCUCCCUUGCUCACUCUUCCCUCCUUACCCUAUCGGGGCUGCAGACCCACGGAGGCCACGUUCACUCCUGCCCGUCGGCCUUGGCAAGCGCGGGCCCCUUGUCGCGCAGAGCGGAGGGUCCUGGGAGAUCCUGGGUUGGCCCAGCCACACCUUGCGCCGCCGCCGUUUCUGCUGGACACCAGGAGAAAACCACGGCAGCUGCAGCCACCAACUUCCCCUACAUAGCCCCACGGGAUCGGAUCCCACUCCCCACUCACCGCCAGACCGGAAGCAGGAAGGCGGAAGUCGCGGCCUUUGCGUCCCGCCCACAGGCGACCCGAGCCGCCAGCCGGGCGUGACUUCUCCAUCAUCUUCCUCCACCUGAUUCGUAGAGACCUCUGGACAUCUGAGCCUAAGCAGGGCCACUAAAUGAGAGAGAAUCCCAUCACUGAAAAGCAACAAUGAAUAUAUUAAGGACCACAGGAGAGAUAGAAGAAAUAUUGCAACUGAAGCUGCUAGAUGGUUAUGAUUAUCUGAAUAGGUGUGAUCUUGACUUUAGCGAAUUAACAGUCAUGUAGGUGAAAUUAUCUUGGACUCUCCAGACAAGACCAGCCACCAGCUGAAUACCAGUGGGUGACCCCAGUCAAUCACAUGGAACAGAAGAAUCACUCAGCUGAGCCCUGCCAGAAUUCUUGAUC